rnacentral:rRNA from 1 species
AUUGAACGCUGGCGGCAGGCCUAACACAUGCAAGUCGAGCGAGCGGCGGACGGGUGAGUAAUGUCUGGGAAUCUGCCCGAUGGAGGGGGAUAACUACUGGAAACGGUAGCUAAUACCGCAUACUCUCAGCUGUAACCAUAUGGGAUUAGCUAGUAGGUGGGGUAACGGCUCACCUAGGCGACGAUCCCUAGCUGGUCUGAGAGGAUGACCAGCCACACUGGAACUGAGAAACGGCCCAGACUCCUACGGGAGGCAGCAGUGGGGAAUAUUGCACAAUGGGCGCAAGCCUGAUGCAGCCAUGCCGCGUGUAGGAAGAAGGCCUUCGGGUUGUAAAGUACUUUCAGCGGGGAGGCGUUACCCGCAGAAGAAGCACCGGCUAACUCCGUGCCAGCAGCCGCGGUAAUAC